AUUACGAUGGUGUACAUAUUUGGUAAAAACGUACUGAACCUCUAUAUUAUUGCAUGCAUCGUUCAUCAAGUCGUCAAUAAUGAGCAGAUUUCUAGUAUGGACUGGCAAGAUUGCAUCAUCACAUAGAGAUUUGGGGAUCCCUUCUACAAAGUGAAUGUUCCUUAUUUUAAGCAAAUCAUCAUAUAUGGGCUGCCAGCAUGAAUAAACAUAUACUAUAUUUUCAAUCUUUUCUGAGAAUAACCGAUCCAUAUUUUCAAUGACUGUUUUGACAAAGUAGGUUUUGCCGCUGUUUGAAGGUCCCGAUACUACCAUGCUGAACGGGUGUUGAAGUCUAGGGUCGAACGUAGUGUGUACAGCAGCCAUCUCUGCGGUCUGUGUGCAUCCCCUCUGAUGGACGGAUGUAUUGUGACCAUAGAACCGUGAAACAUUUGACAGUUAACAUUCUUUAUUAACACCGACAUGAUUAUUAGCACAGUCAUUCAUCAUUAAUACAUGAUGCAUAAAAAAAAAUGAUUAAAAUAAAAAAGAUGAAAGAAGAGAACAUGGAUCAUUUGAAAACAAUAAUAAACAAAAUAGUUAAUAACAUGAUUAUAGUAUAGUAUGAUUUGAUUUUCUUAACAUACCCCCUCAAAAAAUAUAAAAUGAAUAAAAACAUGGAUCAUUUGAAAACGAUAUGUAAAAA